UGCGGGGUGGAGCAGCGGGUAGCUCGUCGGGCUCAUAACCCGAAGGUCGUUGGUUCAAAUCCAACCCCCGCAA
rnacentral:tRNA from 1 species